rnacentral:rRNA from 1 species
UGGCACGUAGGUCAGUAUGCCCCGAAUAUCCCGGGCUACACGCGAGCUACAAUGGUUGGUACAAUGGGUAUCUACCCCGAAAGGGACGGGAAUCUCCUAAAACCAAUCUUAGUUCGGAUUGAGGGCUGCAACUCGCCCUCAUGAAGCUGGAAUCCGUAGUAAUCGCGUUUCAACAGAACGCGGUGAAUACGUCCCCGGCUCCUU